rnacentral:rRNA from 1 species
UACAGAGGUCCCGAGCGUUGUUCGGAUUCAUUGGGCGUAAAGGGUGCGUAGGCGGUUUUGUAAGUCUUGUGUGAAAUCUUCAGGCUCAACUUGAAGACUGCACGAGAAACUGCAGGGCUUGAGUGUGGGAGAGGUGAGUGGAAUUCCUGGUGUAGCGGUGAAAUGCGUAGAUAUCAGGAGGAACACCUGUGGCGAAAGCGGCUCACUGGACCACAACUGACGCUGAUGCACGAAAGCUAGGGGAGCAAACAGG